GUCACUUUAGCACGGCAGCUUUUUCAUCAUUUUUUUUUAUCCUCCAUAACAGGUUUCUGUGCAUUCGCUCAAAGUGAAUGAUGAGGCAGGAGAAGAGGGGAAGAAGGGAAGAAGGGAAGAUGGGAAGAAGGGAGGUCUCCGGGAGGCAAUGAAACCAAGAUCAGUAUAAGAAAUUACAGACAUUUUACAGAGGUGGCGCCCAAGGCUGCGAGCUGGGUGUCGUCACAAGGUCCACACUGCUUUGUUACUCUGCAGGAGCCUAGCAGAGAGGAAGCAGAAAGGAAGCUGGGAUGUAUUACCCAAGGAGGAUGGAGAGCUUUCGUGACAGUACGUCCUGAUAUUACUGUGCAGGGAUCACUUCAUAAGUGUCACCAUGACAGACCAGGCAGAUAUGGUCACUAAACUGACCAAUGUGUGGUUUAAGGCAUUUAAUGAAAUCUUUUUUUGUGAUGUAAUUGAUAUAAAUGUAUGCUUUUUCAUGUAUAAGCAAGGAUGUUUGUUCUUUUGGGAAAGUGCCAAUUAAAUAUUUACCAAAGGAAA